rnacentral:misc_RNA from 1 species
UUUCCGUAGGUGAACCUGCGGAAGGAUCAUUAUUGAAUAAUCGAGGUGUGAGGUCUCUCCCUUACCUGAUAGUUUGUGCACGUACGCGCGAUCUCACCUACUCACAUCCUAUCCACCUGUGCAACACCGCGAGGUGAUCCAUCUUGCUAGGUGCUAGGGGGGCUUAAGCUUUCUCCCUAUCCUUGCUUGUAGUGUAGAUUGUAUUUUUUGUUUUUGCCAACACGCAAUCAAUACAACUUUUAACAACAGAUCUCUUGGCUCUCGCAUCGAUGAAGAACA